UUGAACGCUGGCGGCAGGCCUAACCCAUGCAAGUCGAACGGUAACAGGAAGAAGCUUGCUUCUUUGCUGACGAGUGGCGGACGGGUGAGUAAUGUCUGGGAAACUGCCUGAUGGAGGGGGAUAACUACUGGAAACGGUAGCUAAUACCGCAUAACGUCGCAAGACCAAAGAGGGGGACCUUCGGGCCUCUUGCCAUCGGAUGUGCCCAGAUGGGAUUUGCUAGUAGGUGGGGUAACGGCUCACCUAGGCGACGAUCCCUAGCUGGUCUGAGAGGAUGACCAGCCACACUGGAACUGAGACACGGUCCAGACUCCUACGGGAGGCAGCAGUGGGGAAUAUUGCACAAUGGGCGCAAGCCUGAUGCAGCCAUGCCGCGUGUAUGAAGAAGGCCUUCGGGUUGUAAAGUACUUUCAGCGGGGAGGAAGGGAGUAAAGUUAAUACCUUUGCUCAUUGACGUUACCCGCAGAAGAAGCACCGGCUAACUCCGUG
rnacentral:rRNA from 1 species